UACGAAGGGGGCUAGCGUUGCUCGGAAUCACUGGGCGUAAAGCGCACGUAGGCGGCUUUUUAAGUCAGGGGUGAAAUCCUGGAGCUCAACUCCAGAACUGCCUUUGAUACUGAGAAGCUUGAGUCCGGGAGAGGUGAGUGGAACUGCGAGUGUAGAGGUGAAAUCGUAGAUAUUCGCAAGAACACCAGUGGCGAAGGCGGCUCACUGGCCCGGUACUGACGCUGAGGUGCGAAAGCGUGGGGAGCAAACAGGG
rnacentral:rRNA from 1 species